rnacentral:rRNA from 1 species
ACUCAAAUGAAUUGACGGGGGCCCGCACAAGCGGUGGAGCAUGUGGUUUAAUUCGACGCAACGCGAAGAACCUUACCUAGGCUUGACAUGUACGGAAGUCGUUAGAAAUAGCGAUGUGCCCGCAAGGGAGCCGUAACACAGGUGCUGCAUGGCUGUCGUCAGCUCGUGUCGUGAGAUGUUGGGUUAAGUCCCGCAACGAGCGCAACCCUUGUCGUUAGUUGCCAGCAUUCAGUUGGGAACUCUAACGAGACUGCCGUGGUUAACACGGAGGAAGGUGGGGAUGACGUCAAGUCCUCAUGGCCUUUAUGCUUAGGGCUACACACGUGCUACAAUGCGUUCUACAGAGGGCUGCGAAGCCGCAAGGUGAAGCCAAUCCCACAAAAGAAUGCUAAGUUCAGAUUGGAGUCUGCAACUCGACUCCAUGAAGCUGGAAUCGCUAGUAAUCGCGGAUCAGAACGCCGCGGUGAAUACGUUCCCGGGCCUUGUACACACCGCCCGU